CAGCUGCUCAAAGACCAGGUCCUCAGGUGCAGUAAGAUCGCUAGUGUCAAAGUGUCAGAGAUCACAGAGCUAAUCAACAAAGCCCUGGAGAACGACAAGAAAGCCAGAAAAACUGGGGGUAAGUUUGGCUUCGCAGAGUCGUUGCCCCAGGAGCCGAAUCACAGCGCUGAAAACAGACGUGUCACCUGUGGAAAUGAGUGACGCGUCAAGGAGAAGGCCAAUGAGAUCGUCCAGAGAGCCGGGUCCCACCCCAAACCGUUCCCUCUCCAGUGUUAACUGCCCCAGGUACAGGCCAGGUGGGGGAGGGGCUAGAGAACUCCUGGGGUCUGAAGGAAGAGGAGGAGGAGGAGGAGCAGGAAGAUGAGA